CUAUAGCUCCCUGCAGGCAAUCUAAUGUAAACACUGUAUUUUCAGAGAAAAUACAGUGUUUACAUUGAUUGAUAGGAAUACCUCCAGUGGCCAUCACUCAGACGGCCACCAGAGGGACUUCCUAUCAUGUAGGGCCCUAAAAAGGCCUUGUACACGUCAGACGUAUUAAAAUACGACUGACGUGUGCAGGAGAGAGAAGGC